rnacentral:rRNA from 1 species
UACGGAGGGGGCUAGCGUUGUUCGGAAUUACUGGGCGUAAAGCGCGCGUAGGCGGACCUGCAAGUCGGGGGUGAAAGCCCGAGGCUCAACCCCUGGAUGCGGGUGGAUACUGCUGGGCUAGAGUCCGGAAGAGGUGAGUGGAAUUCCUGGUGUAGCGGUGAAAUGCGCAGAUAUCAGGAGGAACACCGAUGGCGAAGGCAGCUCACUGGACCGGAACUGACGCUGAGGCGCGAAAGCGUGGGGAGCAAACAGG